rnacentral:rRNA from 1 species
UUGAGUGGCGGACGGGUGAGUAACGCGUGGGUAACCUACCCUGUACAGGGGGAUAACAGUCAGAAAUGACUGCUAAUACCGCAUAAGACCACAGCACCGCAUGGUGCAGGGGUAAAAACUCCGGUGGUAUGAGAUGGACCCGCGUCUGAUUAGGUAGUUGGUGGGGUAACGGCCUACCAAGCCGACGAUCAGUAGCCGACCUGAGAGGGUGACCGGCCACAUUGGGACUGAGACACGGCCCAA